rnacentral:rRNA from 1 species
UACAGAGGUCUCAAGCGUUGUUCGGAUUCAUUGGGCGUAAAGGGUGCGUAGGCGGCGCGGUAAGUCGGGUGUGAAAUCUCGGAGCUUAACUCCGAAACUGCAUUCGAUACUGCCGUGCUUGAGGACUGGAGAGGAGACUGGAAUUUACGGUGUAGCGGUGAAAUGCGUAGAUAUCGUAAGGAAGACCAGUGGCGAAGGCGGGUCUCUGGACAGUUCCUGACGCUGAGGCUCGAAAGCGUGGGGAUCAAACAGG